rnacentral:lncRNA from 1 species
CUCCCUCUCGCAGGCUUGAUACUGGGUGUCAGAGAGGUGUUUCUUCUUGAUGAACAAGCUAUCAAUAGUCCCCUUCAAUGUGUCACCUACCUUCCUCCUUUUGAACUACUCUUUUUGGGCUUCCUCCAUCGCUUGGGAUGUCAUUUCUCUCUUCUGGUUGAGGUUAAGCUCCAAGUCUUCCUUCUCUCUCGUAAGCCUACCAAGAUUAGAUCGGAGAUCAUAGUUCUU